ACGGCCAUACCAUAAACACCGGUUCUCGUCCGAUCACCGAAGUUGGGCAAUGUCGGUCAGUACUUGGGACCACCUGGGAACACCGGAUCUGUAGGCU